CCUCUCUCUCUCUUACUCACACACGAAUACACAAUCUUCCACACACGCUGCCUCUCGGUCUGUAUUGGAAGACAGCGCAGCACAUGCAGUAAUUCCCGACACUUAAUUGAUUAGCCCAGGCUGCUUAUUUGAAGUGGCUAAUUAGAGGGGGAGUGUGUCGAGUGUGUGAGGAGGGCUGCGGAGUCGCUAGCGCUCUUUAUCUCCGUGCGCGUGUGUCUGUCUGAGGAGCUCCAGUACCACGCUUCACUCUGGAGCAGGAGGAGGAGGAGAGAAGAAGAAGAAGAAGAAGAAGAAGAAAAGAGAUAGAGAGGCAGCUGGGUGGUGAGAUUUUCACUACACUUUCCCUCAUCUGAUAUGGCCUCCGCGUAGGAAUCUGGUGCCACGGCAACAGAGGAGCUAGGCAGCAGCGAGGUGUCUAAGGUGUGAGGAGAGAGAGAGUGCUGGAGAGAGGACAGGAGAGAGAGAACGAGAGAAUGAUGGCGGCGGAGGAGGAGAAGCGGGUUUGAAGAGCAGCAGCUCCAUAGUUCCCUGCUUCUUGUUUGUUGAGCUGGUGAUCAUGGCAGGGACGGUUCUCCUGGCGUACUACUUUGAGUACACAGACACGUUCCCCGUGCACAUCCAGGGCUUCUUCUGCUACGACAAGACGUUCUCCAAGCCCUACCCCGGCCCGGAUGAAACCAGCAAGAUACCCCCACUGCUGGUCUACUCACUGGUUACAGGCAUCCCAUGC